rnacentral:rRNA from 1 species
UACGGGGGGGGCAAGCGUUGUUCGGAAUUACUGGGCGUAAAGGGCUCGUAGGCGGCCAACUAAGUCAGACGUGAAAUCCCUCGGCUUAACCGGGGAACUGCGUCUGAUACUGGUUGGCUUGAAUCCGGGAGAGGGAUGUGGAAUUCCAGGUGUAGCGGUGAAAUGCGUAGAUAUCUGGAGGAACACCGGUGGCGAAGGCGGCAUCCUGGACCGGUAUUGACGCUGAGGCGCGAAAGCCAGGGGAGCAAACGGG